AUGUUCCCCACACCAAGCACUGCGACACACCUGCAUGUUCACACAGUCAGUCAUAUUACACGAGCAGCUGUAAGGGUGCGCUCCAUUUGCGCACCGGCCCUAGCUUCCAGCCAGGCCCAACACAUCCCGCUCCCCCCACAACGUAGGGUGGGACGGGAUGUCAUGGCGCUGUCGCGACCACGCGCGGCGACACAGUGCGCGGCUCCAUCCGCUGGCACUUUGUCAUCCCCAUGCACGGGCCCGGCUCCCACUCGUCCUUUAUCUUUGGACUCCACGCUCUGCGGAGCGGAUCAGCCUUUUCCAGCUGUUUCACACUCGCCCUUUCGAGCGCAGCCCUCCAUGGGUCACUCCCAGUUCUCUGGUGCGAGCGACGGCGGUAAGGGCGCGAACCCAGUCCUCAGACGUCGUUCACGUGACCUCGAACACGCGUCCGCUGUCAGAACGCGCGCAAGAAUGGCACCGCCUUUGUCUAAUGAGCAAAUGGAUAUCGGACACCAUUCAUUGCGGUCACACACUCCAUUUUCAGUCCGCUCCUCCUCCCUUCAACGGGAUCAUGGAGACAACAUUCACGUCACAGGAACAAUCUCAGGCCCUGGAGCUGGAGCUGCGGGAACUUUUGUCCAAGUACACCAUUUCGAGCUCUCAGGCUUCUACUCCCGCUACUUCAUAGUACCGAAGAAGUCGGGAGGAAUGAGACCAAUUCUCAACCUUUCCCUGUUCAACUGCUCCAUAGCAGUGAUGCAUUUCCGCAUGUUAACAAUGAGGCAAGUCCUAGAAUACGUGCGCUCCGGGGACUGGUUCACGUCAACAGACCUGAAAGACGCAUACUUCCACAUCCCAGUAAUUCCCAAACAUCAGAAGUUCCUGCACUUUUCAUUCAAGGGAGUUCAAUACCAGUUCAAUCGUCUCCCUUUCGGCUACUCACUUGCCCCGCGCACCUUCUCCAAAUGCCUGGAGACCGCUCUGCAGCCAUUGCACACGGCGGGAAUGAGGGUUUUAUUUUACCUGGACGAUCUGCUCCUAUGCGCCCGGUCCAAGGACGAGGCAUCAGAGCAAACCAGGAAGUUAAUAGAGCAUCUGUCAACCCUGGGGUUUUCCAUAAACUGGGAAAAGAGCUCCAUCCUUCCAUCCCAGUCAAUUGUGUUUCUCAGGGUGGAGCUGAACGCCUCCCUAAUGAGAGCACGUUUGUCUCCGGCGAGAGCGGCAGAUCUCACCACGGUGAUCUCCCGCGUGCAACCCCGCAAGAUCGUGAGAGCCCUGUUAGUCAUGAAACUUCUGGGCAUGAUGGCUGCAGCCCAAACUGUGGUGCCGUUAGGUUUACUGCACACGAGACGCCUACAGCGUUGGUUCAUCUGCCUCCGGGUACACCUGAUACAUCAGAAGAGACGUAUGUUGAGGGUUCCCCCUUCAGUGGGUGGGGAUCUCGCUCACUGGGGCAAUCCCUGCAUCCUCUCACACGGGGUUCCCAUCGGACGUCCUACGUCACACGUAUCUGUGUCUACGGACGCGUCACUGUUGGGAUGGGGGAGCACGUGCUUGUCCCAUACGGUGGCAGAUCGCUGGCCCUCCCACACGCACGAGCACAUAAAAGUGUUGGAGCUUAUGACAGUGAGGAAUGUGGUCAGACACUUCGCUGCCCUUCUCGAGGGCCGUCAUGUCGAAGUUCACACAGACAACCAGGUGGCGGCAGCCUACAUAAAUCGCCAAGGGGGAGUUCGAUCCCUCCCACUAUUGCGCGUAGCCACAGAUUUACUGUGCUGGGCACAUGUCCACCUGCUGUCCAUCAAAGCCACCUACAUUCCGGGGGUCCUGAACGUGGCAGCAGACAUCCUGUUGAGAGGGGGACCCCGCGACUCCGACUGGCGUCUGCAUCCCGCACUGAUAUCACAGAUCUGGAUCAAGUUCGGGGAACCCUCUGUGGAUCUGUUCGCGGCUCGCGAAAACGCUCAGUGUCGCCUGUGGUUUUCCCUGAGUCCCCGGGACCACCCCCCGCUUGGAGCGGACACCUUCUCACGCCAGCCCUGGCCUCAGACGCUCCUGUAUGCGUUUCCGCCGGUCCCACUGAUUCCCCGUCUCCUGGACCGAGUUCGGUCUGAACAGCUCUCGGUAAUUCUGGUAGCUCCCAGACGCUUGUCCGCGUCAUGGUUUCCGGACCUGCAAGCGCUAGUGUCCGGCUCCCCGUGGAGGCUCCCGUGGAGGGCGGACGCCCUUCUCCAGGCGGAUGGAAUAAUCAAACAUCCUCCGGAAAUAGGCCAACGGCUGUGGGUCUGGCCGCUGAGCGGUCACGCUUAG
rnacentral:lncRNA from 1 species